rnacentral:ncRNA from 1 species
UAAAAAGGGGAGCCAAUGUGUGCUGAGAGGAAACAUUACGUUUCGACCCUGUGAACCUGAUACGGGUAAUGCCGGCGUAGGGAGUAU